ACGCUCGACACCUACUGGAGGCAGCAGUGGGGAAUAUUGCACAAUGGGGGAAACCCUGAUGCAGCAACGCCGCGUGAGCGAAGAAGUAUUUCGGUAUGUAAAGCUCUAUCAGCAGGGAAGAAAGUGACGGUACCUGAGUAAGAAGCCCCGGCUAACUACGUGCCAGCAGCCGGCGGUAAUCUGAGCGGGCUGGCAAGGC
rnacentral:rRNA from 1 species